rnacentral:rRNA from 1 species
GACGGAGGAUGCAAGUGUUAUCCGGAAUCACUGGGCGUAAAGCGUCUGUAGGUGGUCAAAUAAGUCAACUGUUAAAUCUUGAGGCUCAACCUCAAAAUCGCAGUCGAAACUAAUUAGACUAGAGUAUAGUAGGGGUAAAGGGAAUUUCCAGUGGAGCGGUGGAAAUGACGUAGAGAUUGGAAAGAACACCGAUGCGAAGGCA